rnacentral:tRNA from 1 species
AGUUAAUUAAGUUAUAUAGACUGUGUGUCUUCAAAACACUUAGAGGCUUUUGGGCCAUUUUCUG